rnacentral:misc_RNA from 1 species
ACGAUGAAUGCUCGACGUUGCGCCAAUUGCGGCGCAGUGUCCAAGCUAACGCGUUAAGCAUUCCACCUGGGGAGUACGAUCGCAAGGUUGAAACUCAAAGGAAUUGACGGGGGCCCGCACAAGCGGUGGAGCAUGUGGCUUAAUUCGAUGCAACGCGAAGAACCUUACCCGGGCUAAAUCCGUGAUGACCGCCCCCGAAACGGGGCUUCCCUUCGGGGCAUCAUGGAAGGUGCUGCAUGGCUGUCGUCAGCUCGUGCCGUGAGGUGUUGCCUUAAGUGGCGCAACGAGCGCAACCCCUGUGGUUAGUUACCAGCACGUUGUGGUGGGGACUCUAGCCAGACUGCCUACGCAAGUAGUGAGGAAGGUGGGGAUGACGUCCGUCAGUCAA